CAGUUAGGAGGAUAGACAAAGUAACAGGCUCACUCUAGAUAUCCAUGGGUGGAGUGGCCGGGCCUCAUCUGGAGUUGGUAUCUGGGAGAGCCGGGAGCGUUGUUACGAGCUGGUGUAGACCAGACAACCUGAAGACUGGUUGGAGUGGCAGAUGAAAGCCUCGGAGGCAACACGCCAUCUGGAGCUGUCGAAAAACACAGAUGAAUUAGAGCAGAGAAAACUGUGGAGAACAUAUGUUGGAUGGAAUCGAAAUGCUCCAUAUACUGGAAAAACUGUUCCUCAGGAUCAACAACAAUGUUAAACAUGGUCCAUUUAAUUUAACAUUUUCAUUCCUGAACUACUGUACUUCCUUAUUGUUCAUUUCAACACAAUUACGUUAGUAUUUCAACCUGAAAAGCCAGCCCCCAAACAGCAAGACAAAUGAACAUACAGCACAUCCCCACCUGUACUUCUGUUUAUCUAAUUGAAAACAUGUAGGGAACUUAGUGAACCAAAUAUUAAAGUAACUUUUUAAAUUAACUCUUUCCUCAGCAAUCAAGCAAUCAAACAGUGAAGGAGUCCAGAUCUUUUCUUUCUCUCAUCGAUUAUCACCCAUUGCCACUUAAUCCCGCUUCUACUCAUGAUCACAACUGGCUUUCUUUCUUUCUUUUUUUUUUUUUUUGGUGUUUUGAGGAUGGUUUAUUAAAAUUGUAUUUUUCUACAAUAUUAAGUACACACGGUUGGCUGAAAAUAGCACAUUGCAG
rnacentral:lncRNA from 1 species